CGGGAACGUCGCCGACGGUCGUGAUGUGACGCGGUUACUAAAGAAGAUGUGGUGAACACUCGCCUCCUCCAGAGCUUUCCACAGCUCCUCGUCAGAGUGCCGGCCGAAGGGAUCCAGGUUCUUCCUCAGCGUGUCGAAUAUUUCUCUACCGCCCUCUUGUGGUCGCAGCUGAUAAUGAUCCAUCUAGCAAGCAAAUGCUAAGAUGACGUUCGGCGUCCAAACAACAAUGAGAAGAAUGAUGGAUGAAAAAGCCAAAUUUCUAAACAAAUCAAAUCAUAAAAACGCUGAUGAAUGCAGAAUACAGACCACUUCUGUACAACCAAGAAACUUUUCAUGUCUGGAGAAACCGUUGAAGCUCCAUCAGAACCCAAACUGCAGCGAGUUCAGAUCUGAACCAGAACCUUGACUCGACUCAAACCAGCCGACACUCUCCCGCUGGAAACCUCGCCCUCCAUGUCUGCUGGUGGCGCAUUCAUGUUUCACUGGAAAACGCCAGACUCUCUGAGAAGAUGACGAAUUUCUCCAGAAACCUCUAGGAUUCCCUGAACUCGUUUGUCCAGACCAGAACUUUGUCAUGUUGACACAGAGUGCUGCAUUAGACACCAGACAGAUAAAACACUGUUUUUAAAUCAAUCAGAUUAAUGUGUUUUUGCUCCACUUGGGGCUGUAUAUUUACACUUUUAAAACUUGUUGGGAGUUUUUCAGUUCUUCCAGCUUCAACUGAGAAGCUGAGUUGAUGCUUCUGAGUACGAUUCGCAUAUUUAAAAGCGAAUCGUGUCGAAUUUCCAGCACCAGGCUCACUUAUAGAAGUGAGGAUUUUUCUGUCCUAAUUUGAAAAUGAAAUGAGAAAAAAACUGGAAACAAAAACAAGAUAAAAAAAAACACAGAAGGUGCAAAAAACCUGCAGCAGCCUCAUCUUGUUUAUGUCAGCUAAUGACGUCAUCAUUUACAAUAACAAAUAGCCCAUAAAAGCAUCACUUUGACCCAGAAUCUACCUGUCUGGUUACAUGAUGUCUCCCUCUUGUGGCGGAACCUUGAACUGCAGUACGAAUUCAUGAGAGAAAAGUGACAUUCCUGCAACAACAGACAACUUUAGCAUCAAAAUACACAAAAUAUAUCAAAGAAGGAUGUGAGACUGUAUGAAAUG